rnacentral:rRNA from 1 species
CAGCAGCCGCGGUAAUACGUAGGGGGCGAGCGUUGUCCGGAAUUAUCGGGCGUAAAGCGCGAGCAGGCGGUCCCUUAAGUCUGAUGUGAAAGCCCACGGCUCAACCGUGGAGGGUCAUUGGAAACUGGGGGACUUGAGUGCAGAAGAGGAGAGCGGAAUUCCACGUGUAGCGGUGAAAUGCGUAGAGAGGGGGAGGAACACCAGUGGCGAGGGCGGCUCACUGGUCUGUAACUGACGCUGAGGCGCGAAAGCGUGGGGAGCAAACAGUAUUACAUUCCCUGGUAGUCCACGCCGUAAACGAUGAGUGCUAAGUGUUAGAGGGGUUAAACCCUUUAGUGCUGUAGCUAACGCGUUAAGCACUCCGCCUGGGGAGUACGGCCGCAAGGCUGAAACUUAAAGGAAUUGGCGGG